CCCGACCGCUAUCGGGGUAGGGCUAAGCCAUGCGAGUCGCGCGCCCGGGGGCGCCCGGGAGCGGCGCACGGCUCAGUAACACGUGCCUAACCUACCCUCGGGAGGGGGACACCCCCGGGAAACUGGGGCCAAUCCCCCAUAGGGGAAGGGCGCUGGAAGGCCCCUUCCCCGAAAGGGACGGCGGCCGAUCCGUCGCCGUCCGCCCGAGGAUGGGGGCACGGCCCAUCAGGUAGUUGGCGGGUUAAAGGCCCGCCAAGCCGAAGACGGGUAGGGGCGGUGAGAGCCGCGAGCCCCGAGAUCGGCACUGAGACAAGGGCCGAGGCCCUACGGGGUGCAGCAGGCGCGAAUACUCCGCAAUGCGGGCAACCGCGACGGGGCUACCCCGAGUGCCGGGCGAAGAGCCCGGCUUUUGCCCGGUCUAAAACGCCGGGAGAAUAAGCGGGGGGCAAGUCUGGUGUCAGCCGCCGCGGUAAUACCAGCUCCGCGAGUGGUCGGGGUGUUUACUGGGCUUAAAGCGCCCGUAGCCGGCCCGGCAAGUCGCUCCUGAAAUCCCAGGGCUCAACCCUGGGGCGGGGGGCGAUACUGCCGGGCUAGGGGGCGGAAGAGGCCGCCGGUACUCCGGGGGUAGGGGCGAAAUCCGUUAAUCCCCGGAGGACCACCAUUGGCGAAAGCGGGCGGCCAAAACGCGCCCGACGGUGAGGGGCGAAAGCCGGGGGAGCAAAGGGAUUAGAUACCCCUGUAGUCCCGGCCGUAAACGAUGCGGGCUAGCUGUCGGCYGGGCUUAGGGCCCGGCCGGUGGCGAAGGGAAACCGUUAAGCCCGCCGCCUGGGGAGUACGGCCGCAAGGCUGAAACUUAAAGGAAUUGGCGGGGGGGCACCACAAGGGGUGAAGCUUGCGGCUUAAUUGGAGUCAACGCCGGAAACCUCACCCGGGGCGACAGCAGGAUGAAGGCCAGGCUAACGACCUUGCCGGACGAGCUGAGAGGAGGUGCAUGGCCGUCGUCAGCUCGUGCCGUGAGGUGUCCGGUUAAGUCCGGCAACGAGCGAGACCCCCGCCCCUAGUUGCUACCCGGYCCUUCGGGRCCGGGGRCACACUAGGGGGACUGCCGGCGUAAGCCGGAGGAAGGAGGGGGCCACGGCAGGUCAGUAUGCCCCGAAACCCCGGGGCUGCACGCGAGCUGCAAUGGCGGGGACAGCGGGAUCCGACCCCGAAAGGGGGAGGCAAUCCCGUAAACCCCGCCCCAGUAGGGAUCGAGGGCUGCAACUCGCCCUCGUGAACGUGGAAUCCCUAGUAACCGCGUGUCACCAACGCGCGGUGAAUACGUCCCUGCCCCUU
rnacentral:rRNA from 1 species